UACGGAGGAUCCGAGCGUUAUCCGGAUUUAUUGGGUUUAAAGGGUGCGCAGGCGGGGGACUAAGUCGGCGGUGAAAUUUUGCAGCUCAACUGUAAAAGUGCCUUCGAAACUGGUUUCCUUGAGUGUAGAUGAAGUAGGCGGAAUUUGUGGUGUAGCGGUGAAAUGCAUAGAUAUCACGAGGAACUCCGAUUGCGAAGGCAGCUUACUAAGCUACUACUGACGCUCAGGCACGAAGGCGUGGGGAUCAAACAGGAUUAGAUACCCGGGUAGU
rnacentral:rRNA from 1 species